rnacentral:rRNA from 1 species
CCUACGGGUGGCUGCAGUGGGGAAUAUUGCACAAUGGGCGCAAGCCUGAUGCAGCCAUGCCGCGUGUGUGAAGAAGGCCUUCGGGUUGUAAAGCACUUUCAGCGGGGAGGAAGGCGGUGAGGUUAAUAACCUCAUCGAUUGACGUUACCCGCAGAAGAAGCACCGGCUAACUCCGUGCCAGCAGCCGCGGUAAUACGGAGGGUGCAAGCGUUAAUCGGAAUUACUGGGCGUAAAGCGCACGCAGGCGGUCUGUCAAGUCGGAUGUGAAAUCCCCGGGCUCAACCUGGGAACUGCAUUCGAAACUGGCAGGCUAGAGUCUUGUAGAGGGGGGUAGAAUUCCAGGUGUAGCGGUGAAAUGCGUAGAGAUCUGGAGGAAUACCGGUGGCGAAGGCGGCCCCCUGGACAAAGACUGACUCUCAGGUGCGAAAGCGUGGGGAGCAAACAGGAUUAGAUACCCCAGUAGUC